rnacentral:misc_RNA from 1 species
GAAAGUUUUAAUGUAAUGAUGUUAAAAGACUUGUUUAAUGAUAUAAAUAAAUAAGAAAUUUGUUAGUGACGGUUUAAAAAGCAACCAUCCUAGCAUUCUCCACAUCAAAGGAUUGACUGAAUUAAAUUUGAACCUAAUGUGAACCAAUCUUGAAAAGCAAGGAAUAAAACCCGAAUGGGGGGAAACAUUAUCCCCAGAAUCAGAAGAAUGAAAAAGAGAGAACCCGCUGUGUUUCAAUGCGGAAAAAUAAAAAAGAAAACUAUUUGUCCAUAAGCGCACCUUAUCCUCAGCAGUCAGCGAAAUAAAUAGACCGCUGAUGUUUCAACUAGAUUUUACAUGAUAAUCCAUAAUGAAAUAAGAUUUCACCAUUCUAGUUUUACAAUUAAAGUGGACUAUAGGACUUUCUUGUCAUGCACAUGAAAAAUUUGACAAAAUCAUCCUUAUUGAAAGGAAACCAAAAUACGAAUUCUAGUUUAUUGGCUUUGCAGCUCAUUGCUUUAAUGCUCUCCCAUCCUAAAGAAAACUAUUUGCUUUUUCCACGGAUGAGUAAUCCAACAAAUAAAUAAUAUUUCCUCUCUACAAACUGCAUUAAUCAUUCAAAUUGAGCGAAUUCAGAAUUUUGACUGCCAGAUGCGCAGCCCAUAAAUUGCAACAUCUGGAGCAACAUCUAUGACAACGUUGAACUAAAGAUUGAUUUAUCAUCAAUGGGAAGUUGACAUACUACAAAAUCAAGAUGUUGCACCAUCAUAGUGUAGCUAAGUGAUAAUAAUUGCAAGAACUCUCUCAUAGUUUUCAGGGCUAUGGUGCCUCAUCCAACUGAUUAAGAUCACACAAAGCUUUGAUGUGGAGAAGGCGCAAGGAAGCCAAAUUGGGGUACCAAGUCAAUCAGAAGUGAGCCAAACUGUAUACUAGAGUCCAUGAGAGCAGAAACAGAGUAAUAGAAGCAAAAAGUCCCUCUUGGAGGAGAGCGCCAUGACCACCAUAUUCUUCCUCGUCAACCUUUAAUAUUAUUGAAUAAUAACCAUAUAUAAUC